ACGCUUGUCACGCCGGAACGUCGCGGUCGAGAACUCAUUAGAAACGACCAUGUUCAACGGCGAUUUGCGACACCAAGGCGUGUAUUCGUUAUCCUACUCUGAUCGGCUAACCUGUGGUUGCGUGAAGUCGGACAAUAUGCCACCAGAAGUUUGCGCAAGGUGUCGUUAACUUCACUGCUUCGAGUCACCAUUGGGUCGGAGCUUUCCCGCCAAGCUGACCAGCGAACAAGUUUUGUGGAUUUCGCUACCAGGAAGCACCGCCCAAAAGCAGUGCUACAAGGAUGUGAGCCACAGGUUCUUUUCAACGAACGAAUCAGAUGCCUGAGAGCCACGGGCCGGCUGCUUCUGGCCUAUACAGACAGUGCAGCCACCACAGUAAAGUUCUUGCAAAGACAUUCUACAAAAGCUGGCCCAAGGGAGGACGGAAGACAGUACAGAUGGACACACAGAAGCAAUCGGGCUGCCUUAGAAACUAUGACUGAGCAUUAACCUGUUUCCGGGAUUGAAUUCCCUGUACAGAAAGAACAGCUUCGC
rnacentral:lncRNA from 1 species